rnacentral:misc_RNA from 1 species
AAUUUUGAUAAGUUUGGUUAAAUAGAACUAUAUCUAUGAUUAUAUGAUUUUAAUUUUUUAUUAAAUUUUGUUUUUGUGUAUCUCACCUCAUUCAAGCAUGCGCCUGCAACUGUACCCCAGAACCCCUUUGCAUCUUAGUUCGCCUACUGCCUUUAAUAACUAUGUUGACUAUGAUAUGCCACAUCCUGUGUACUCGUGGCUGGCAUGUGUAAUACAAGUUUAACUUGAAGUAAGUUUUGAAUCUAGAUCAAGUGUUAGAUGGAAUUAUCUUUUCCUUUGCAAAGAGAAGCAAAAGGAAUAAAAAUGAGUUGCUGC